UACAGAGGAUGCAAGCGUUGUCCGGAAUUAUUGGGCGUAAAGAGCUCGUAGGCGGCUUGUCACGUCGACUGUGAAAACCCGGGGCUCAACUCCGGGCCUGCAGUCGAUACGGGCUGGCUUGAGUGCGGUAGGGGAGACUGGAGUUCCUGGUGUAGCGGUGAAAUGCGCAGAUAUCAGGAGGAACACCGGUGGCGAAGGCGGGUCUCUGGGCCGUAACUGACGCUGAGGAGCGAAAGCGUGGGGAGCGAACAGG
rnacentral:rRNA from 1 species